rnacentral:rRNA from 1 species
GUGCGGCAACGCAUGCAGCUUACCGGUACUAAUAGCUCGAUCGACUUGAUCACUCCCAUUU